GAUGAUACAUAAAUCAAGCAUAGUUCACUCUGAAAAUACAUGAACGAACUACAACUAGAAAUUAGUCUUUCGCUCCUAUCUGA
rnacentral:snoRNA from 1 species